AAAAAAAAUUAAAAAAAUCAGUAAAUGGAAAAAAAUCUACCACAAAACAAUCUGCAGUGAAGAAGUUGAUCUGUGAAAUGAACUUGAAAAUAAGAAACUCCUUAAAUUAGGUUUCUAGGCUCACUCACAUAUUUUAGACCUGCAGCACAGCAAAAAGAUACUAGUACUGUGUGAAAUCUGAGUCUUGGAUCAGUUCUAAAGUUUAGUUUCGUGCAUAAGUUGGAGGUCAAAUACUCACUUUUUUAGGAAGGCACAAAACCAUUGGAAAUCAAUUAAAAGACUUAGACUUCAAUGAAGCUAAGAGCAUUGGGUGCAUCACUUGGGUUGUAGUGAGCUGUCAUGCCAGCUGACUCUCAGUCUCUUUAUCAGUAUUUCAUCUCAGCUUCUGCACAGUUUUUUUUUUUUUUGUUUGUUUUUGUUUUUCUUGUUCUCUACACAUAAGAUUUGUCUCCCACUCUAAAAGAGUAACUUUUUUUUUUUUUCUUCCCUUUGGUAAUGCUGUAGGCAUUUCUAGUGUUAAACAAAUAAGUAAAAAGUAUAAUCCUGGAGCAAAAUCAUAAAAGGCCUUACUCUUUCUUCAUCUAUCUUGGAUAGCUUGUUCUGCAGAUUGUCCCAUAUUGCGUCUCUGAGAAAUAUCAAAGAAAACUAAAGAUGUUCAACACAAAUGCACUUUAUAUGGAAAAAUUGGAGGCUAACAAUGAAGCUCAUUGAGUCACUUGAAAUUUCUGUAGCUGAAACCACAGGAGAAAAAGACUUGAAAUGUAUCAUCAGUUCCUCUAACAAUGAUGCUUUAUCUCUUUCAAAUGAGGAAAAAUGUUUAAUGCAAAUGACUGUCUGCAUGAAAGAUACUAUUAUACAGAACACUUGGGAUUUCCUUAGAGACCAGUAUGUUAUAACUGGGUGCCUCAGCUGAUGUUAACUUUUUGACUAAAGUACUGAAAUUUUCUCCUGAAGAACAAAGGGCACUUUUCAGCACAUUUGUGUAUUUUACUGCUUUUUUUGAUAUUUAAUAUGUCAAGUUCACCUUUUUAACCAAAAUAUUUUGUGAUUUUUUUUUUUUUGGUUUAUAUUUCAUAUCUACUUCUUUUUUACAUUUUUUUUUCUAUUUACAAAACCUGUCUUUCUCUCAUAUCUCAGGUAAAUCAUAACUGCUAAUGAACAUUCCCUUUAAAAAGAAGUCAUAGAAUCAUAGAAUGCUUUGGGUCGGAAGGGAUCUUAAAGAUCAUGUAGUUCCAACCCCCCCUUCCAUGGGCAGGGACACCUUCCAAUAGACCAGUUUGCUGAAAGUUUCCACCUUGUAAGUAAAGCCAGUUUCCACCUUGGCUUUAAACACUUCCAGGGAUGGGGCAUCCAUAGCUUCUCUGGGCAACCUGUUCCAGUGCCUAAAGAAUUUCCUCUUUAUGUCUAAUCUAAAUCUACCCUCUUUUCAUUUAAAGCCAUUCCCACUUGUCUUAUCACUACACUCCCUGACAAAGCGUCCCUCCCCAGCUUUCCUGUAGGCUCCCUUUAGGUACUGGAAGGCCUGUAAGAUCUCUCCAGAGCCUUCUCUUCUCCAGACUGAACAACUCAAACUGCCUCAGCUUGUCCUCAUAGGAGAGGUGCUCUAGUCCCUUAAUCAUUUUUGUGGGCCCCCUCUGGAGUUGUUCUAAUACUUCCAUGUCCUUCUUGUGCUUGGGAGCCCAGAGCUGAAUGCAGUACUCCAGGUGGAGUCUCAUGAGAGCAAAGUAGAGGGGAAGAAUCACCUCCCUCAACCUGCUGGCCAUGCUUCUUUUGAUGCAGACCAGGAUACAACUGGCUUUCUGGGCUGCAAGUGCACAUUCCUCGCUCAUGUCAGGCUUACCAUCAAACAACAAGUCAUGAAGUAAUAUCUAAUCUUGGUUGAAUUGACAGAGGUAG
rnacentral:lncRNA from 1 species